AGAGUUUGAUCAUGGCUCAGGACGAACGCUGGCGGCGCGCUUAACACAUGCAAGUCGAGCGAUCGGUCGAGCCUUCGGGCUCGGCACGGAGCGGCGAACGGGUGAGUAACACGUGGGUGACCUGCCCUCGGCUUCGGGAUAACUCCGGGAAACCGGUGCUAAUACCGAAUGGCCUCCGACGUCUUCGGGCGACGGAGAAAAGGUAGCUUCGGCUUCCGACCGAGGAUGGGCCCGCGGCCGAUUAGCUUGUUGGUGGGGUAAUGGCCUACCAAGGCGACGAUCGGUAGCUGGUGUGAGAGCAUGACCAGCCACACUGGGACUGAGACACGGCCCAGACUCCUACGGGAGGCAGCAGUGGGGAAUAUUGGACAAUGGGCGCAAGCCUGAUCCAGCCAUGCCGCGUGAGUGAUGAAGGCCCUAGGGUUGUAAAGCUCUUUCGCACGCGACGAUAAUGACGGUAGCGUGAGAAGAAGCCCCGGCUAACUUCGUGCCAGCAGCCGCGGUAAUACGAAGGGGGCUAGCGUUGUUCGGAAUCACUGGGCGUAAAGGGCGCGUAGGCGGCUUAGCAAGUCGGGGGUGAAAGCCUGUGGCUCAACCACAGAAUGGCCUUCGAUACUGUUGGGCUCGAGACCGGAAGAGGUCAGUGGAACUGCGAGUGUAGAGGUGAAAUUCGUAGAUAUUCGCAAGAACACCAGUGGCGAAGGCGGCUGACUGGUCCGGUUCUGACGCUGAGGCGCGAAAGCGUGGGGAGCAAACAGGAUUAGAUACCCCGGUAGUCC
rnacentral:rRNA from 2 species